CCCUUAGAUGUUCUGGGCGGCCCGCGCACUACAAUGGCGUGUGCAGCGAGUGCCGAAGUAGAGUUUUCCGAGGUAUUCUUGCAAUGCUCGUUUUGAUGGGGAUAGACCCUUGCAACUGUUGGUUUUGAACGAGGAAUUCCUUGUAAGCAUGGCUUAUCAUCCGACGCUGAAUGCGUCCCUGCCCUUUGUACACACCGCCCGUCGCUCCUACCGAUGAGUCGUCCGGUGAAGUUCGUAGACCUCGUGAUCGCGGAUCACUGGGGGAAGCAAAAUGAACCUCGCGGUUUAGAGGAAGGAGAAGUCGUAACA
rnacentral:rRNA from 1 species